rnacentral:rRNA from 1 species
AACGAACGCUGGCGGCAUGCCUAACACAUGCAAGUCGAACGAGACCUUCGGGUCUAGUGGCGCACGGGUGCGUAACGCGUGGGAACCUGCCCUUAGGUUCGGAAUAACUCCCCGAAAGGGGUGCUAAUACCGGAUAAUGUCUUCGGACCAAAGAUUUAUCGCCUUUGGAUGGGCCCGCGUUGGAUUAGCUAGUUGGUAGGGUAAAAGCCUACCAAGGCGACGAUCCAUAGCUGGUCGGAGAGGAUGAUCAGCCACACUGGGACUGAGACACGGCCCAGACUCCUACGGGAGGCAGCAGUGGGGAAUAUUGGACAAUGGGCGAAAGCCUGAUCCAGCAAUGCCGCGUGAGGGAUGAAGGCCUUAGGGUUGUAAAGCUCUUUUACCCGGGAUGAUAAUGACAGUACCGGGAGAAUAAGCUCCGGCUAACUCCGUG